rnacentral:misc_RNA from 1 species
GAUGAAGAACGCAGCGAAAUGCGAUAAGUAAUGCGAAUUGCAGAAUUUCCGUGAGUCAUCGAAUCUUUGAACGCACAUUGCGCCCAUUGGUAUUCCGAUGGGCAUGCCUGUUCGAGCGUCAUUAUCCUCCCUCAAACCUCGGGUUUGGUGUUGGACCCAAGUUGUGCGAUGAACAACUGGUCUAAAAAACAAUGACGGCGUCCGUGGGACCCUCGGUGCAACGAGCUUUUAGGAGCACGCGCCGAGUUGCAAGGACCUUCCGGGCCGGUCUCCUUUUACUAUUUUACAAGGUUGACCUCGGAUCAGGUAGGAAUACCCGCUGAACUUAAGCAUAUCAUAAGCGGAGGA